GUCUAGGAGGCAUGAUGAUGCGUGGAUUGUUCUUCCACGAGUUGAAACGGAACUCCGGAGACAGCGUGCAGGUUCUACUUCAGGGAUGUCACCGUCCCGUGUAUUCCUACCUCUUUAUAUUUGCCCACCUCUCUUCCAAGACGAAGGGCCAUCCAUCAUGGAGUACUCUCAGGAUUCAGCUUGCUUCUCCAAAUCAAUGGCUCAUUGACUCUCCCCAGCAGCAAACAUGGACACACGUCUAUCUCGUUGACAGCUACAAAAAAGAAACAGGAAUAUAAAUUGGGCCUGCGCUGUCUGGCUGAGAGGGCGAGUGAGCAGAUCAUUGACAAUCAUGACAGAAAUCCAUCUCUAAGGUAAGAACGAGGCAGCAGGGACGACAACUUUAACGCCUGCUUUCUUGUGGCGCCAAUUCUCCAACUCUGUGGAGAUCACAUGCUACAAAGACAGAU